rnacentral:rRNA from 1 species
UACGUAGGGUGCGAGCGUUGUCCGGAAUUAUUGGGCGUAAAGAGCUCGUAGGCGGUGUGUCGCGUCGGCCGUGAAAACCUGCAGCUUAACUGUGGGCUUGCGGUCGAUACGGGCAUCACUGGAGUUCGGCAGGGGAGACUGGAAUUCCUGGUGUAGCGGUGAAAUGCGUAGAUAUCAAGAGGAACACCUGAGGUGAAGACGGGUUGCUGGGCUGACACUGACGCUGAGGCGCGAAAGCCAGGGGAGCAAACGGG